GCCCAGCUUGGUAUUGGGUUGUCGCCCUUCUCCCCCGGGAGAAUGGUGCCCCCGAAAUGUAGCGGCGGUGCGGCCGGGCUCCCUAGCGCAGUGACUUUUACAAUUCUCGCUACAAGGAGCCCGCGACCCGUCCCGGCCGGAUAACCCCCAAUUUUAUCACGAUUGACCUCGGAUCAGGUAGGGAUACCCGCUGAACUUAA
rnacentral:misc_RNA from 1 species